UGUUAGGAGGUGCAGAGCCCACCAGAGCACUCAGCUGAAGGAGGAAGAUGCCUGACCCCUCCCUCGUACUGCCCCGGGAUGCUGCAGCUUCCCAGCCAGCUAGACACAGAUAUGUUCCUGGGAAUUACUGUUCUGUGUGUACAGCAGAAGUUCGAUCAUGGAAACUGGAAGAUUGUAACAGGGCUGGUUGAGAAGACAUGGAAAAGAAGUUACUGUUUCAUCCUCUCUUAACUGGAGAACCCCCGUUGCUGGGUCUGAGGCCACUGCUGAUCCAGAGAUUAUGGCUGCAUAAGGUAGCAAAGAAUGAAGCCUGACGUGAAAGGUGAAAUCUGAAAAAUUCAAAAUCUAAAAUCUAUUAAUUAACUAGAUUUCUUCUCUACAGCAAAUCACACUCAAAAUAUAGAGAUAUA